rnacentral:snRNA from 1 species
GGAUGUGAGGGCGAUCUGGCUGCGACAUCUGUCACCCCAUUGAUCGCCAGGGUUGAUUCGGCUGAUCUGGCUGGCUAGGCGGGUGUCCCCUUCCUCCCUCACCGCUCCAUGUGCGUCCCUCCCAAAGCUGCGCGCUCGGUCGAAGAGGACGACCAUCCCCGAUAGAGGAGGACUGGUCUUCGGUCAAGGGUAUAUGAGUAGCUGCGCUCCCCUGCUAGGAUUUAAUACGAGGCAUGAGCAUGUAGAAAGCAUAAUCAAGGACUUAAUGACGGAUUGUUUGAUAUUCCUCCAU